UGACAAUAAAUAACAAUACUGGGCUCAUUGAGUCUGGUAAUUGGAAUGAGCACAAUCUAAAUCUCUUAACGAGGAUCCAUUGGAGGGCAAGUAUGGUGCCAACAACUGCGGUAAUUCCAGCUCCAAUAGCGUAUAUUUAAGUUGUUGCAGUUAAAAAGCUCGUAGUUGGAUCUUGGGUCGUAAAGGUCAGUCUGCCUACUCGGUGUGCACCUGCCCUUCCAUCCCUUUUGCCGGCGGUGUGCUCCUGGCGUUAAAUGGCUAGGUCAUGGUUUCGGCAUUGUUACUUUGAAAAAAUUAGAGUGCUCAAAGAAAUCUUAUGCUCUAAAUACAUUGGCAUGGAAUAACGCGAUAGGAGUCUGGUCCUAUUGUGUUGGCCUUUGGGAUCAGAGUAAUGAUUAAUAGGGACUGUCGGGGGCAUUCGUAUUUCAUUGUCAGAGGUGAAAUUCUUGGAUUUAUGAAAGAUGAACCACAGUGAAAUAAUUUGCCAAGGAUGUUUUCAUUAAUCAAGAACGAAAUUUGGGGGCUCGAAGAUGAUCAGAUGCCGUCCUAGUCUCAACCAUAAACGAUGUCGACCAGGGAUCGGCGGAUGUUGCUCUAAGGACUCCGCUAGCACCUUCUGAGAAAUUAGAGUGUUUGGGUUCUGGGGGGAGUAUGGUCACAAGGCUGAAACUUAAAGGAAUUGAUAGAAGGAAACCACUAGGAAUGGAGCCUAUGGAUUAAUUUGACUCAACACGGGAAAACUUACCAGGUCCAGAUAUAGUAAGGAUUGACAGAUUGAGAGCUCUUUCUUGAUUCUAUGGGUGGUGGUGCAUGGCCAUUCUUAGUUGGUGGAGCGAUUGGUUUGGUUAAUUCUGAUAAUGAGCGAGACCUCAGCCUGCUAACAAGCUACACAGAGAUUCCCCUUCACAACCAACUUCUUAGAGGGACUAUGGUUGUUUAGGCCAUGGAAGUUUGAGGCAAUAACAAGUCUGUCAUGCCCUUAGAUGUUCUGGGCUGCACGUGCGCUACACUGAUGUAGUCAACGAGUUUUUCUCCCUGGUUUGAGAGGAUUGGGAAAUCUUCUCAAAUUGCAUCGUGAUGGGGAUAGACCAUUGCAAUUAUUGGUAUUCAACGAGGAAUUCCUAGUAAGCACAUGUCAUCAGCUCGUGUUGACUACGUCCCUGCCCUUUGUACACACUGCCCGUCACUCCUACCGAUUGACUGAUCCGGUGAAGUGUUCAGAUCGCGUCAACGAGGGUGUUUCACCGUCGACGAUGUCAUGAGAAGUUCACUGAACCUUAUCAUUUAGAGGAAGGAGAAGUCAUAACAAGGUUACCGUAGGUGAACCUGCGGUAGGAUCAUUG
rnacentral:ncRNA from 1 species